GACGUAGGGUGCAAGCGUUGUCCGGAAUUAUUGGGCGUAAAGAGUUCGUAGGUGGUUUGCCAAGUCUGACGUUAAAGCCCGAAGCUCAACUUCGGUUCGGCAUCGGAAACUGGCAGGCUAGAGUCUGGUAGAGGCAAGGGGAAUUCCCGGUGUAGCGGUGAAAUGCGUAGAUAUCGGGAGGAGCACCAGUGGCGAAAGCGCCUUGCUGGGCCAGUACUGACACUGAGGAAAGAAAGACCAGGGGACGG
rnacentral:rRNA from 1 species